AGCGAACGUUAGCGGCGCGCCUAACACAUGCAAGUCGCACGAGAAAGGGAGCAAUCCCCGGUACAGUGGCGCACGGGUGAGUAACACGUAGAUGACCUUCCCUGGAGUGGUGGAUAACCUGCCGAAAGGCGGGCUAAUACAGCAUGGGACCACAUGGUUUUGACCGAGUGGUGAAAGCGGGCCUCUGUUCACAAGCUCGCGCUCUGGGAUGGGUCUGCGUCCCAUCAGCUAGUUGGUGAGGUAAUGGCUCACCAAGGCAUCGACGGGUAGCUGGUCUGAGAGGAUGACCAGCCACACUGGAACUGAGACACGGUCCAGACUCCUACGGGAGGCAGCAGUGGGGAAUCUUGCGCAAUGGGCGAAAGCCUGACGCAGCGACGCCGCGUGGGUGAUGAAGGCCUCGGUUGUAAGACCUCGUGGGAGG
rnacentral:rRNA from 1 species